rnacentral:rRNA from 1 species
AACGAACGCUGGCGGCAGGCUUAACACAUGCAAGUCGAACGCAUCGCAAGAUGAGUGGCAGACGGGUGAGUAACGCGUGGGAAUCUACCCAGUUCUACGGAACAACAGUUGGAAACGACUGCUAAUACCAUAUACGCCCUACGGGGGAAAGACUUAUCGGAAUUGGAUGAGCCCGCGUAAGAUUAGCUAGUUGGUGGGGUAAUGGCCUACCAAGGCGACGAUCUUUAGCUGGUCUGAGAGGAUGAUCAGCCACACUGGGACUGAGACACGGCCUAGACUCCGCCGGGAGGCAGCAGUGGGGAAUAUUGGACAAUGGGCGCAAGCCUGAUCCCGCCAUGCCGCGUGAGUGAUGAAGGCCUUAGGGUUGUAAAGCUCUUUCACCGAUGAAGAUGAUGACGGUAGUCGGAGAAGAAGCCCCGGCUAACUUCGUGCCAGCCGCCGCCGUAAGAC